ensembl:lncRNA
AAUUUUUUCUGUUGAGGCACAAUGUCUGGGUUCUGCAUGCAUGUGCAGUGCAAGAGAUAGAUAAACAGCCUGUUUGGUCACUGACUUUCAUUCUGUAACAUAUCCAGGAUAGAAAGCAAUUCAAACAGGGAAAGCACACCAAAACUAGCUACCCAAAGGUGCAGAGAUCCAGUGGAAGGAUGGGAAACUGCCUACCAAGAAUAAGGAGCUUCGAGCUGCCAGUGCCCGCGCUGCCACCCUGCAGGUGGAAAAUGUGCAUCUGCAUCCGAAGAAAAAGAUACUCCCACAAGGAAACACAGACUUACAGAUAUUCGCCAAGAACUGUCAAGGAACAUCUCGAGGAAAAAGAUUAUAUUAAUACCAGUGAACUAUGGUAUUCUACUGUCAACCAUGAUGUAAAAUGUGAAUCCUCUGUGGUUAAUACCAAUGAUCAGACAGAAUAUGCAAUUGUCAGCAUGCCUAAGAAUAAGCAAACCAUCACCAGCUCUGAAGACAACAAUGAAUAUGAUUUUAUCCUGGUAAACUAA